AGGGAUGUAACUCAGUGGUAGAGCACAUGCCUUGCAUGUAUGAGGCCCCGGCUUCAAUCCCUGACAUAUCUA
rnacentral:tRNA from 1 species